GACCAGCGACCCGGCCCGUGGAGCCGGCGCGGGCGGGCUGCUGAGGUGGCUGUCGCCGGCUCCGAGCUGCGGCUUCCCGGGCCGAGCCCCCGAUGGAGGCCGAGGCCGCUGACGCUCCCCCGGGCGGGGCUGAGUCGGCGCUCACCUGCUUCUCUUUCAACCAGGACUGCACAUCCCUAGCAAUUGGAACUAAAGCCGGGUAUAAGCUGUUUUCUCUGAGUUCUGUGGAGCAGCUGGAUCAAGUCCACGGAAGCAAUGAAAUCCCGGACGUCUACAUCGUGGAGCGCCUCUUCUCCAGCAGCCUGGUGGUGGUGGUCAGUCACACAAAACCACGGCAGAUGAACGUGUAUCACUUCAAGAAAGGCACAGAGAUCUGUAAUUACAGCUACUCCAGCAACAUCUUGUCCAUAAGGCUGAACCGGCAAAGGCUGCUGGUUUGCCUAGAAGAGUCCAUUUAUAUUCACAACAUUAAAGACAUGAAGCUGUUGAAGACCCUCCUGGAUAUUCCUGCAAACCCAACAGGUCUAUGUGCUCUUUCUAUCAACCAUUCCAAUUCUUACUUGGCCUAUCCUGGAAGCCUGACUUCAGGGGAGAUUGUGCUUUAUGAUGGAAACUCCCUGAAAACAGUCUGCACUAUUGCUGCCCAUGAGGGGACACUAGCUGCCAUCACCUUCAAUGCCUCAGGCUCCAAACUAGCAAGUGCGUCUGAAAAAGUAUGUGACAAUCAGCUCUCUAGUGUUCAGUAUGGAUUCACAAUUCCUCUGCGCCUCCAGUAACACU
rnacentral:sRNA from 1 species